rnacentral:tRNA from 1 species
GGUGGAGUAGCCAAGCGGCAAAGGCAGUUGGUUUACAUCCAAAUAAUCGCAGGUUCGAGUCCUGCCUCCACUA